CGUACCUUGAAGAACAUGUGUUUGCAUUUUGGCUAACGACAGCUGGGAUAAUUGUUGGUGCUGUUGUGGCAUUUUUUCUUAUGUAUUCGUAUCUUAGGACUAGGAAGAUACUGUAAAUAAGGAGAUCAUUCAAGCUGAGGUGAUACCAAUGGUGAAGAACUCUUUGAUUGGAUUACACUUACUGAGGUCCAUAAAAUGUUGUUGUCGAGUAAAUUACUAAAUU